AUGACCGAAAACCGGUCGAACUCCAUUUCCCCCCUCCUCCUUUCACCCACCAAACCAAUUCUGACAGUAUAAAAUCCCAUGUCUUUGACCCAGGCUUUACCAGUUGGUUUUGCUAAAUAAGACGUUUGAAAAGGAUUCUUUUUGCGAUCAAAUCUCAACUCAUCACGUCUGUCAAGAUGAACAAAAUCGUUUUUGGAAUCCUUGCAGUUGUUGCAUCUUUUAUGCUAGCGGAGUCGCUGUACGUGUAACAAAUGCCAAUGGGGCCUGAUGGGCGUUUGCCUAAAUCCUACUGAUCAGUCCUGCCCAACCAACACAAGUAGCUGCUUCACUGGAAGAGCUACCUUCCCCUCUCUCACUGCUUUCCCAGGCUUCAACACCCAAGGCUGUCUGGAGAAUGCUAAGUGCAACAUCACCAACACCAACGAAACCCUCCUGACUGUUUCCUACACCACUGUCACGACCUGCUGUGACACCAACAAGUGUAACCCAAUCAUAAUCAGCGGCGCAACCUCUGCCAAGCUCUCUGUCACCGCAGCCCUCAGUGCCGCUCUGGUGGCCUCCGUGUGGGGCAGCAUGCUGUACUAGAACAACUAGAAGACACAUUCUGAUUCUGAUUCCAAAGAACCAGAAGACAGCCCCUACAUCGAAAUAAUAAUGUAAAGACCAAUCCUAGUCUGUUUUUACAUCAUGAAAUGUUUUCUUAAACCGGUUUGACAACAGUUUGUUUCAUUCACACUGCAUGUUUAAACCGGCUUGACUUGUUUUUCUCAUGUUUUGAUGCUAUGCUGUCACAUCAUCCUCUCAAGUUCUUUGCCUCCUAUCAGAGUAAUGCACUGAGUAUCCAUAAUCAAGGGCGUUUUAGUUAUCACCUCAAAUUUUGCAGAGAGAAGCACAUGUCUCAGAAUGCAUUAAAGACACUCACUUUGUUUUCACACAGUUUCUGUUCCUGAAUGUUAAGAUAKWUAUUGUUGUGGAAGUCGAUCAGUGUAUUGUUGAAGUUGUAACAUUGAAUUCUUAAACCUUCCAUAUGUGUUUUUCUUCGUUCUAAUUAAGCUUAAGUUACUACAAUAAUGGGUGGCGCUUGUAUUAUGUAAUGAAAAUAAAGAAAAUAAUGGAAAGCAAUAUUUCAUUUUUUGCUGUUUUGAAUGAUCAGAAGUUUUGCAAUAAAAACAAAUCACUCAC